GAUUCGGGAAGAGUUGUUAGAAGCCGAGAAGAAGAAAAAUGAUCUUCUCGCGAAACAAAGCAUAAGAAAACGUCAUGAGCAUGAAUUAAUCAACGAACAGAGCAAUGCGAAGGCAGAACUUAAAAAU
rnacentral:sRNA from 1 species